ensembl:lncRNA
CUGCGAGGCUGCUGUGGCGUUGCCACUUUGCUGGGAAAAGGCCUCUUAUCUUUUAUUUCCCUUGCAUUUCUUUCAAGUCUACCAUUGACCAUUUUUCACACAUGCGGUCAUCAUUGUAGUUUGCCCCUAUUUUGUGAGGUUUGGUGUAUUCUUAAUUUUAAAGCUUCCUGGGUUUUGAGGAGAGCAUAUUCUGUCAUUGUAUUGAACAGGUGUUUUCCCCAGCUUGGAUUUGUUUGGCCAUUAGCUUGUUUUCUGCUAUUUUACAAGAGUUUGUUUUUCUUCAUUACAAAAGGACUGUGCUGAGGGUCCCCCAGGCUCACCGUGCUUCGGGGUGUGAGGCAGCAGGGCAGGCAGGUGUCCUUCCUUCUUUGAAGUGUGGGUUGGGGCGGGACAGCAGACCGUGGGGUCACUGCUGAGGACGGAAAGGACGGGAUUAGGACUGUUCUGUUCCUGGCCUCAGGAGCUCCCCCAGCUCCUUCGUGUGGCUGGAGAAGAAACCUCCUGAUUGUCACGGAGAGUGAUUUGCCCGUGGAGCCUUUCCUGUCCGGCUCACAUAGAACAGGCUGUGAGGUCCCUGCACUGAGCAGCACGUGCCGGGCCAGGUCCCCACGACUUUUGGGAAAACCCAGGCCUGGGUUACAGGAAGCAAAGGUCUUUAGAUGAAGGUUUUAAGAAUGAAAAUGAACCCACAGAAUGGUAAAGUGAGUUGGAGCCUGGAUGCCGUGGGGUAAGACAGCCACCGCCAGGUAGGAGUCCCGCUCCUUCCUUUUUCCCUGUCCCCACCUGCCAGCUAUGCCCUAGAGCAGGGGCACACUCGGACCCCAACCCAGCGUCCACCCCCCUGCCUGCAGGCCUGCGAGGUCCCACAGCCCCUUGGCAUGCAGGGACUGCCCGGGGCCAGGUGUGGGCGAGGCUCAGGAUUUCCUGGCACAGCUGGCUUCAUGUUAUGGCCUGGCAGCCUUGGGUGGUGUCGGCAGAUGCAGGAAACCACGGGCCCAGCACCCUGCCUGUCCCGGCUGUGGGUGCCAAUGCUGAGGGCACCUCCUGCCUGUGACGGGCCUUGUUCCUUUCCCCUCGGAGACGUACCUCGGAUCCAUCCUGGCCUCUCAGUCAGGGCCGACUUCCCCACCCCAGUGUUUGCUACCAUGAUUGUGACCCGUUCUAAGCUGUGUUUCUGCAGCUUGGCCGGUCACCUGCAUUCUUUCCUCCCCAAAACAACCCCUCAUCACACAGCAGAGACAGUGGUCACUGAGAACACGGUCCGCCUGCCAUCUCUCCCCUUCAUGGGCACCUCUGGGGCCUCCUGCUGUGCUCCGAACAAAAGCCAGAGACCCUGUUGAACCUGCUGCGCUCUGAACAAAAGCCAGAGACCCCAUCGAACCUGGGAUCGGUUGGUAGAAGGUAGAAGAUGGGCUCCCUGUGGGACCCAGGAAGGGGACGGCCCCCUCGGCCUCACAGCUUCCCAGACAGAGCAAAAGUGUCCUUCCAGUCUCUCCACAUUUCAUCAUUAAACAAAGUUAGCUAAUUCCUUGCCUGUGGAUCGGAACCUACUUUGUCUAAGUGCUUCUGGUUAUUCCAUCCUUCAGCCACUGUGCCACGAGAAGGUUAAGUGGGACUGCCAGGUUUUGUGGGUGUUGUUUUGGUCCUGGCUGCCAGUCCACCCGUGAACAAUGUCCUCACCGGAUGGGAAGCGGCUGCUGCAGCCACACGCACAGGCCCCCGCCCCGCAGAAAACGCUACUUCCUUUUUCUGACUAGACUCGACCGGGACGCAUCAAACACCAGACACCUGCCCUCCGUUUGUGAAGUGUUUAGCUCUUCUUUCUUUUCUAUUUCUUUAACUUAUGUUUUUGGUGUGUUGUUGGUGUUGUUGGUGUUGUUUUGAGACGGAGUCUUCCUCUGUCACCCAGGCUGGAGUGCAGUGGCACGAUCUUGGCCCACUGCAACCUCUGCCUCCCAGGUUCAUACCAACCUCCUGCCUCAGCCUCCUGAGUUGCUGGGAUUAUAGGCGCCGCCACCACGCCCAGCUAAUUUUUUGUAUUUUUAGUAGAGACAGUAGAGACGGGGUUUCACCAUGUUAGCCAGGAUGGUCUCGAUCUCCUGACCUUGUGAUCCGCCCGCCUCGGCCUCCCAAAGUGCUGGGAUUACAGGUGUGAGCCACCACGCCCGGCCUAACUUAUGUUUUUAUCUUUACCAACUUCUUUCUUAAAAAUGUAUGGUUAGAAAUUUGGGGUUUCAUUUUUCUAGACAUGAUUUUUACCUACAAGAAAGGCCCACAAUAGGCAUGCAUCCUUUUCAAUGUUCUUUAUUUUAUUUUCUUCAAUGGAUUACUUCCUUUAAU